rnacentral:rRNA from 1 species
AUGCAAGGUAAACCGGUCGCUCUGAGCCGGGGUGCCACACUUCGUCGAGGAGUUAUUCUUACCGAAGAUAAUCUUCUUAAGAGGAAUUGCCAUGGAAGUAUGCAAUGUAUGUUGUGUCAUCACGACGAGAUGAUAAAACACUUAUUUUUUCAAUGCAAAUUUGCUCGUUCUAUAUGAUGAGUCAUCCAAGUAGCUUCUUGCUUGUAUCCUCCAUGUAGUGUUGCUAAUAUAUUCGGCAGCUGGUUACAUGAGGUAGAAUAUCGGUUAAAAAUUCUUCUCGGGAUGGGAGCGCUUGUCGUUAUUCGGUCGCUUUGGCUAUGUAGGAAUGAUAAGGCUUUUAACAAUAAAAAUGCUUCUAUUAUGCAGGUUAUCUACAGAUGUACGUGGACGCUCCGUUAUGGUCGUCUCUACAGCGUGUGGAGUAUCAAUACUUGUUUACGGAGGUAUACACGUUUAGAGGCCACGACGAGGGAUAUUUUUACCUGA